rnacentral:rRNA from 1 species
UCAAAGAUUAAGCCAUGCAUGUCUAAGUACAUGCCGAAAUAAGGCGAAACCGCGAAUGGCUCAUUAAAUCAGUUAUGGUUCCUUAGAUCGUUUCUUUCUACUUGGAUAACUGUGGCAAUUCUAGAGCUAAUACAUGCAGGAAACCUGAAGGCCUUUGGCUAACGGGUGCUUUUAUUAGACCAAGACCCAUCGGGUUCUGCCCGUACUCUGUGGUGACUCUGGAUAACUUUGUGCCGAUCGCACGGCCACGAGCCGGCGACGUUUCUUUCAAGUGUCUGCCUUAUCAACUUUCGAUGGUAGGUUACUUGCCUACCAUGGUUGUUACGGGUAACGGAGAAUCAGGGUUCGAUUCCGGAGAGGGAGCCUGAGAAACGGCUACCACAUCCAAGGAAGGCAGCAGGCGCGCAAAUUACCCACUCCCGGCACGGGGAGGUAGUGACGAAAAAUAACAAUACGGGACUCUUUUGAGGCCCCGUAAUUGAAAUGAGUACACUCUAAAUCCUUUAACGAGGAUCAAUUGGAGGGCAAGUCUGGUGCCAGCAGCCGCGGUAAUUCCAGCUCCAAUAGCGUAUACUAAAGCUGCUGCGGUUAAAAAGCUCGUAGUUGGAUCUCAGUUCCAGACGAGUAGUGCAUCUACCCGAUGCGACGGCUCGGACUGAACAUCAUGCCGGUCUCUUCUUGGUGCCCUUCAUUGGUGCGUCUCGAGGUGGCCGGUGCUUUUACUUUGAAAAAAUUAGAGUGCUCAACGCAGGCGAGUCGCCUGAAUAAACUUGCAUGGAAUAAUGGAACAAGAUCUCGUUUCUGUUCCGUUGGUUUUUGGAAUACGAGAUAAUGAUUAAGAGGGACAGACGGGGGCAUUCGUAUUGCGGCGCUAGAGGUGAAAUUCUUGGACCGUCGCAAGACGAACUACUGCGAAAGCAUUUGCCAAGAAUGUUUUCUUUGAUCAAGAACGAAAGUCAGAGGUUCGAAGGCGAUCAGAUACCGCCCUAGUUCUGACCAUAAACGAUGCCAACCAGCGAUCCGCCUGAGUUACUCAAAUGACUCGGCGGGCAGCUUCCGGGAAACCAAAGUAUUUGGGUUCCGGGGGAAGUAUGGUUGCAAAGCUG